GCCGGGCAUGGUGGCUCAUGCCUGUAAUCCUAGCUCUUUGGGAGGCCGAGGUGGGUGGAUCACCUGAGGUCAGGAGUUCGAGACCAGCCUGGCCAACAUGGUGAAACCCUGUCUCUU
ensembl:misc_RNA Metazoa_SRP Metazoan signal recognition particle RNA